GACCAAGGUUCGAUUCGAGCGCAGCGAGAAAGCGUUGCCGCAGGCAACGACCCGAAGGGCGAAGCGCGCAGCGCUGAGUCAUCCUUCCCCCACCACCA
rnacentral:sRNA from 4 species